rnacentral:piRNA from 1 species
UUUCAGAACAUCGGGAUGUCUCAGAAAC